GGCUACGGCCAUAUCACGAUGAAUGCACCUCAUCCCGUCCGAUUUGAGAAGUUAAGCAUCGUCGAGCCACAUCAGUGCUGAGGUUGGAGACAACUUGGGAACCUGUGGUGCUGUAGUCU
rnacentral:rRNA from 1 species